rnacentral:rRNA from 1 species
UACGAAGGGGGCUAGCGUUGCUCGGAAUCACUGGGCGUAAAGCGCACGUAGGCGGAUAUUUAAGUCGGGGGUGAAAUCCCGGGGCUCAACCCCGGAACUGCCUUCGAUACUGGGUAUCUUGAGUUCGGAAGAGGUGAGUGGAAUUGCGAGUGUAGAGGUGAAAUUCGUAGAUAUUCGCAGGAACACCAGUGGCGAAGGCGGCUCACUGGUCCGAUACUGACGCUGAGGUGCGAAAGCGUGGGGAGCAAACAGG